GCCACGUGGCCGUCUCGGGGCGGCUGUUGCUGCUGCAGGGCUCCGGCGGGGGUCAGGGGGUUCGGGAAGGCACCGCCGGUCCCCGGGAAGGGGACGAGUUGACAGAUGUGCGUGAGGAGGUCCCUGGUCGGCCUCACCUUUUGUACCUGCUACCUGGCUUCUUACCUCACGAACAAGUAUGUCCUGUCAGUCUUGAAAUUUACCUACCCUACAUUAUUCCAAGGGUGGCAGACGCUCAUUGGUGGACUUUUGCUUCAUGUGUCCUGGAAGCUGGGCUGGGUAGAGAUCAACGGCAGUUCAAGAUCUCAUGUUCUGGCGUGGCUUCCUGCUUCAGUGCUGUUUGUGGGUAUAAUCUAUGCUGGGUCCAGAGCCUUGUCCAGACUGGCCAUUCCUGUGUUUCUCACUUUGCAUAAUGUAGCUGAAGUUAUCAUCUGUGGGUACCAGAAGUGUUUUCGGAAAGAGAAAACAUCUCCUGCAAAGAUCUGUAGUGCCCUUUUCCUCCUGGCCGCAGCAGGAUGCCUUCCCUUCAAUGACUCCCAGUUUGAUCCAGAUGGAUAUUUUUGGGCUCUAAUUCACUUACUCUGUGUAGGGGCUUAUAAAAUACUACAGAAGUUUCAGAAACCCAGUGCAUUAAGUGAUAUUGACCAACAAUACUUAAACUAUAUAUUCAGUGUGGUGCUCCUGGCAUUUGCAUCUCAUCCCACAGGUGAUCUCUUCAGCGUCCUGGACUUCCCAUUCCUGUACUUCUACAGAUUCCAUGGCAGCUGCUGUGCCAGUGGAUUUUUGGGAUUCUUUCUCAUGUUCAGUACAGUGAAGCUAAAAAGCCUUCUGGCUCCAGGACAGUGUGCAGCCUGGAUUUUCUUUGCUAAGGAUGGAAUGCUUGUUCAUACUAUGGAAGUGAAAGAUGGUCAAAUCCUUCUCAGACAUGGUCUCAUGUGGUGGUGGAGUGGGGCCAGUUUCACCUGCUAGAAAAAGGACACCUCUUUCUGGGCGGUGGCCACCGUUUCUCCUGAACAUCCGUGGUUGGAGACGGUUUCUAGUAGAUCUUCAGCUCGGUGCCAAGGUAAAGAAGGUGAGCUCAGACUUCCCAGUAGCAUUGCAGAAGUGUUUCUUGUUCUGGUUGUGCCCCACAGGUGAGGACCGUGCCCCGUCAGGUGCACUCUUCCUGACUAAUUAUGGAAAACGGCACAGCUGCCACCCUCAGACCGUGAGGUUUAACCGAGUGAAUGCUGUUGUUCCGGGGCUGGACACUCCUGCUGGGCUGGGACCUCCCGAGUAGCUGGAAUGACAGGUGUGAGCCAACACACCUGGCUAAUUUUUCAGUUUCUUAUAGAGAUGGGCUAGUUGCCCAGGCUGCCCUUGGGCCUUUUCUGAGAGGCUCCAUGUUGGUGACUCUCCUCUCAUGUGGGUGCUGCUUGAAUGGCUGAGUCUGACUGUGAUGCGGGUGAGUAGUCUCCUAGGGCACCAUUACAGCAUCCACAUCCGGUUUUUUUUUUCUGAGACAGAGCCUUCCCCUGUCACCCAGGCUGGAGUGCAAUGGCAUGAUCUCGUCUCACUGCAACCUCCCCCUUCCGGGUUCAAAUGACUCUCCUGCCUUAGCCUCCCAAGUAGCUGGGUGCUUGUGUUUGGACCCCCUCACCCCACAUUUUGCUGCUGUUGCAGUUUUCUUUACAGUUAACUGUACAAUGUAGAAAACCCUCCAGGAAACUGAGAGGCUGAUGGAGAUUAAUGGAGAACAGAGGAAUGGAAGGGAAGUAGGUUGUCAUGUAAGCCAGAAAAACUCACUCUGCAGCUCGGGCAGAGCAGAGCCACUGUCAGGGUGCACCUUAGGGACACCUGCAGCCCAACCAUCUGGAGAGCUGAAUGCCAGCCACCCCGAGACAUGAGCCAGCAUGGGCAAAUGUCAUGUGUAGGAAUGCAAAUGGCAUGGUUCCCUGGUCAGGAUUUGAAUUUUCCGACAGAGUCUCGUUCUGUCACCCAGGAUGGAGUACAGUGGCACAAUCUCUGCUCACUGCAACCUCUGCCUCCCAGAUUCAAGCGAUUCUCCUGCCUCAGACUUCCAAGUAGCUGGAACUACAGGCGUGCGCCACCACACCCAGCUAAUUUUUUGUAUUUUUAGUAGAGACGGGAUCUCACCAUGUUAGCCAGGUUGGUCUCUAUCUCCUGACCUCGUGAUCCCCCUGCCUUGGCCUCCCAAAGUGCUGGGAUUACAGGCGUGAGCCACCGUGCCUGGCUACCGUGUCUUUAAUUUUGACCCACAACAUCUCUAGAAAAUAACCUUAGAAACCAUUUAGUCACUCUCUUUAUUUGAAAAGUUCAAAAAGCUAAGUAUAGAAAAGGUAGAAAGUAAAUGAAAAGGAAAAGAAAAGCUUAUGGGACUCUACCACAAUAGAUAUUUUAGAGUAUAUUCUUCUGUGGGAAUUUUUUUUUUUUUAAAUAAAGAAAGAAAGAGAAACACAAAGGGGGAGAGAGAACAGGAGUCUUGCUCUAUUGCCCAGGCUGGACUGCAAUCUAAAAAUAGGUAUCAAAAGCCUCCUUUAUGCCGAUAAUUGUGCUUAACAGUGGAGACAGGAAGGAAUAAGGGAAGAAAAUAACAAACAGCCAACCAAUAUUUCAUUUAAGUCUGUGAAAUGCUAUGCAAAUGCUGAAGAGUGAUUUACUUCCAAUUAUGUGGUCACUUUCAAAAUAGGUGUAAUGCGAUACUGAGAAAAAUGUAUGUUCUGUGGACCUGGGGUGAAAAAUUCUAUAAAUAUUCACUGAGUUUACUUGUUCCAGGUCUGAGUUCUAAUCGUAGAUGUGCCUGUUAAUUUUCUAUCUCGUUGAUCCGUCAAAUAUUAACAAUGUGGUGUCAAAGUCUCCCGCUAUUAUUGUGUGGGAGUCCAAGUCUCUUUAUAAGUCAUUAAGAACUUGUCUUAUGUAUCUGGAUGCUCCUAUAUUGGGUGCAUAUAUAUUUAUGAUCAUUGACUCCUAUUCUUGCAUUGAUCCUUUUACCAUUAUGUAAUGUCCAUCUUUGUUUCUUUUAGUCUUUGUUACUAUUAAAGUCUAUUUUGUCAGAGACAAAAGUUACAACUCCUGUUUUGUUUUGUUUUUUUCUCUCCAUUUGAUUGGUGAGUCUUCCACCAACCCUUUGUUUUGAGUCUUUGUGUGUCCUUGCUUAUGCGAUGGAUCUGGAUCUGGAUAUAGUGUACCAAUGGGUUUUGACUUUUUAUUCAAUUUGCCUGUCUGUGUCUUUGAUUGGGGCAUUUAAUCCAUUUAAAUUUAGGAUUAAUAUUAAUAUUUGUGAGUUCAAUGUUGUUGUUUAAUGCUUGCUGGCUAUUCUGCCCAUUAGUUGAUAUAGAUUCUUCAUUAUGGAGAUACUCUUUACCUUUUGGUAAAUUUUUGGGAUGACUGAUACUGGUUGUUCCUUUCUGUGUAUAGUGCUUCUUUCAGAAGCUCUUGUAAAGUAGGCCUGGUUGUGAUGAAAUCUCUGAGUGCUUGCUUGUUUGCAAAAAAUUUUAUUUUUCCUUCAUUUAUGAAGCUUAGUUUUGCUGGAUAUGAGAUUCUGGAUUGAAAAUUCUUUUCUUUGAAGAUAUUGAAUAUUCACCCCCACUCUCUUCUAGUUUUUUGUAGGGUUUCUGCUGAGAGAUCUGCUGUGAGUCUGCUAGGCUUCCCUUUAUGGGAAACCAGACCUUUCUCUCUACCUGCCCUUAGAAUUUUCUCCUUUAUUUCAACCCUGGUGAAUCUAACGAUUAUGUGUCUCGGGGUUGCUCUACUUGAGGAAUAUCUUUGUGGUGUUCUCUGGAUUACCUGGAGUUGAGUAUUGUCCUGCCUUACUAGGUUAAGAAAGUUUUCCUUAAUAAUAUUCUGAAGAAUAUUUUCCAGCUUGGAUUCAUUCUCUUCGUGACAUUCAGGUACACCUAUCAAACGUAAAUUAGGUCUUUUCACAUAGUCCCAUAUUUCUUGGAGACUUGGCUUAUUCCUUUCUACUCUUUCUUCUCUAAUCUUGUCUUUUCGUUUCAUUUCAUUAAGUUGGUCUUCAACCUCUGAUAUCCUUUCUUCUGCUUGAUCAAUUCAACUGUUAAAACCUGUGCAUACUUCAUGGAGUUCUAUUGUAUUCUUCAGUUCCAUUAAUUCACUUAUAUUCCUCUCUAAAUUGUCAGUUCUCCUUAGGAUUUUGUCAAACCUUUUUUCAAGGUUCUUAGUUUCUUUACAUUGGGCUAGAACAUGUUCUUUUACCUCACAGAAGUUUCUUAUUAUCCACCUUCUGAAGCCUAAUUCUGUUAAUGGAACACACUUGUUCUCCAUCAGGCCUUGUUCACUUGUUGAUGAGGAACUGUGAUCCCCUUUAGAGGGAGAAGCACUCUGAUUUUGGCUAUUCUCAGCCUUUUUAUGCUGGUUUCUUCCCUUCAUUGUAAAUUUAUCCACCUGUCAUCUUUGUAAUUACUGACUUUCAAGUUACGUCUCUGAGUAGACGUCCAGCUUGUUGAUUCCCACCACCAGAAUCUGAGCAACCCAUUGUGUUGGCUAAAACAGCAGCAUUAAGCUUCAUGGUACUUUUCUGCCUGGGAAUCUCCAGUCUGGCUUCCCUCUUGAGUCCCUUUUCAAUCAGCUGAAUGGGCAACUCUGCCUUCCCGGAGCUUCAAACGUUGGCCAAAAGGGGACCCAGUCCCAUUUAUGCUGCACCGAGAACCGCUGCGCCAGCCACAAGAGUCGCGCUGGCGACCCAUAGGGCUCCUCCACUGGGAAUCUCCUGGUCCAUGAGCAACAAAAAUUCGUCUGAAAGUGUGGCGUCCUCUCGUUCUCUGCAUUUUCACUGGGAGCUACAAUCCUGAGCUGCUAGUAAUCAGCCAUCUUGUAUCUCUCUCUUCUGUGGGAAUUUUUUUAUAUACACAUUCCUGGAUUUGUCUAUUUUUACAGAAAUGGGAUUGUUCUUCAGACCUCUUGGGUUUCUAUGUAGCAGUAUUGGGAAUAUUUUCCCCUUCUUGGGAUGGAUGAGGAAAUGGAGGCCCAGCCAGGUGAAUGACUUGCUGACACAGUGCCAGGGCUCACCUAAAGAGGUGGGCUCACAUAGCUACCCAGUCCUGAGGCUUCUUGCCCUGAUAAAGGCCUGAGAAGGCAGCGGCAGGGCCGAGGCUGGGGGGGUCCAAAGCACCAGGCUUAUCAGUGGCCAUGGGCAUUGAGCACAGUGCCUGACAUGCAAUAGGCCUUUGAUCAAGGACAGAAAUGAAUGAGGCGGGGCACAGUGGCUCACGCAUGUAAUCCCAGCACUUUGGAAGGCAGAUUGCUUGAGCCUAGCGAAUCGAGGCUGCCGUAAGCUAUGAUUGCACCACUGCGCUGCAGCCUGGGUGACAGGGUGAAACCCUUUCUGAAAAAAAAGAGAAAUGAAUGAAAGGCACUGGCUGUACUGGUGGAGGCCUCAUUCCUGCCCUCCCUGCCCUGGUGCCUGGGUCUGGGCAGUUAUUCAGCAGCUGCCUUGCUCUUCUUGCCAGCCCCACACUUCCAAAGGCUUGUGCAGUAACAGACUUGUGGUGAUCUCAAAAGCCUCCAGUGUUCAGUUUGCAGAAAAGGCAGUGUAUUCCCUCUGGCAGCUGUAUGAGGACUGUUAUGCACUGUACACACUGUAGCAGCUAAAAUCCCAGCGGUACGGCUGAGUGCUUCUGAUUUUAUAAACAUGCAGUGGAGUCCCAUAGGCUAGCCAGGUGAGGGGGGCCAAGGGGCAAACCUGGGCUUCACACACGGCUGAUAGGGAGUUCUUAGCCAAACUCUCAGAGUUAAUUCACUGAACUUUUUCAGUCAUGUCUUCUUUCUGUGAAACAUCUCAAUGACUUUCUAUACUUAAAAAUAUGUUUUCUCUUUGACCCAGUACUUCAGCCUGUGGGAACUUAUCCUUUAGAUACAUUUCCAUAAGUAUAAAAUGGCAUAUGUGGCUGGGCAGGUGGCUCACGUCUUUAAUCCCAACACCUUGGGAGGGCAAGGCGGGUGGAUCACCUUAGGUCAGAAAUUUGAGACCAGCCUGGCCAACGUGGUGAAACCCCAUUUCUAUUAAACAUACAAAAAUUACCUGGGUGUGGUGGUGCAUGCCUGUAGUCCCAGCUACUCAGGAGGCUGAGGCAGGAGAAUUGCUUGAACCCAGGAGGUGGAGAUUGUGGUGAGAUCAUGCCAGUGCACUUCAGCCUGGGCAAUAGAGUGACUCCAUCUCAAAAAAAAAAAAAAAAGGCGUAUGUGCAGGGUUAUAAUUCAGCAUUGUUUCUAAGAGCAGGAAACAAUCCUGGUGUCCAUCACUAGGGGCCUGUGCUCUGUCUGGCCAGUGGAUACUGUAGAAGAAGAAAUUGAGGACACUCUCUGUGUGCUGCCAGGGAAUGAUCCCCAAGUACAGUCCUUGACUUCCAAUGGUUUGUCUCACUGUGAUGGAUUUAUUGGGGUGUAGCCCCGUUGUAAGUUGAGGAAUAUCUGAAUUACUAAGUGAAAAAUGUAACUGUAUGUGUACUAUGCUAACUUUUCUGUAAAAAGAAAAAGAAACAAACUCAGGCUGAAUUCCUAUUCACUUACAUGUGCGUAAAGAAACUUGAAUACAUCAGAAACAUGACGGCGGGAAAUGAGAACUGAGCAGACGGUAUCUAGGCGGGAGGGAGAUGCUUCACUGCGUAUUGAGUCUUACAGUUUUGUUUUCAGAAUCAUGACUGUCUCACCUAUAAAAGUGAAAUUGGAAAAAUAACAUAACCUUCAAUAUGCUACCCCCAAAAUACCAUUGAAAAUGGUUAGUUACAUCUUUGUUUUACAGAGUUUAAACCUGGUUACAAGAACCAGUUACAAAGGUGUAACUCUUACUGAAUCAGAGUUGAUUGGUCGCUAGAAACUGUAUUGGAAGGGAAGAUGAUAGGAGUGGCAAUGAGGUGGGUCUACUUGGGGGAGAGAGCAGUGUCCAUGGUACGGCAACCUCCUGAGUUGAAGGACGUGGCCUCUGAGUCCACUCGGAAAGAGGGCUGCUCCCUGCACGUGGGCUUUGCUUGGUUCUGGUCUGUCUGAAAAGCAGUCAUGAGCGCCGUUGACAGUGACAGGGAUCCCGCAGCCUGCGUCCUGCUGUAUCACAGAGCAGGCGCUAGAUGCUUUGUCCUGAGCACAUGCUCAGUCAGUGACCACCGGAAACAUGGCAGGGCCACCAGGCGUAUUGCUGUCUCCCAGCAUUUGGGAGAUGGCCACACAAUCCGCAGAUCACAUUUUGCUGUAGAGAUGAAUAAACCGAGUCACUAAGGGUACUGCAAGGGGAUUCUGAAAUGCAUACUCCUUGCCUUCAGAAAAUGUACAUGUGCCUUGUCCACAGACUUUAAGAGUUCUUUAUGAAAAGUAGCCACUGACGGGCAUUAUUUUCUUCUCAAUCGAGGACACUUAGUGGGCUCCUGGCUGCACCCAGACUUGGAGGGGGGGUGGCACGUCAGCAGCUGACAUUCCUUUGUGUGUGUGGGACCAUGGAAAGGCCACAGUUCAGAUUCCUUCCUUCCUUCCUUCCUUCCUUCCUUCCUUCCUUCCUUCCUUCCUUCCUUCCUUCCUCCCUUCCUCCCUCCCUCCCUCCCUCUCUGUCACCCAGGCUGGAGUGCAGUGAUGUGAUCUUGGUUGACUGCAACCUCUGCCUCCUGGGCUCAAGCGAUUCUCCUGCCUCAACCUCCCAAGUAGCUGGGAUUACAGGCACAUACCAGCAUGCCCAGCUAAUUUUUGUAUUUUUAGUAGAGACAGAGUUUCACCAUGUUGGCCAGGCUGAUCUUGAACUCAAGUGAUCCACCUGCCUCAGCCUCCCAAAGUGCUGGGAUUACUAGCAUGAGCCACCGUGCCUGGCCACACAAUUCAGAUUUCUAUAUUUUUAGCUUUCAUAAAGAAGGGUACCUUAUACAUUGGAGGGGACAAGAUAACACAUUUCUUUACUCUGGAUCUUUACAUUGGGCCCUGAUGUGGCAGCUGACAGAUUUAUUAAGUUAAAGGUGUCUGCUUUCUUUGGAACAUAUGCUUGAAUGUCUGUAACAACAUUUUCAUUUUAAACUUAGAAGAUAGAUUAACAUUGAAUGGCUUCUCCGAAGCAUUGGUUUGCCAGAAUCUUAGGGACACUCAGUGUGCAACUCACCCACCUUCUUCACUUUGGCUGCCAGGAAUCAUGUGGCCACACUCUGAGCCCCGCCCAUGCAUGGUGGCUGCCCUGGCAUGGAUUUUGUCCUGGCCUUCCUCUGCCUUCUUCUCCUUGAUUUCCCCUUUCCUUCAUGUUUCUUACCUACUUCUAAUUGAUAUUCUGAGUCUGAAUUCAUCCAUCUUUUUAAAUUUCUUGAAAAUUCUCACUGGAACAAGUCAGGAAAUGAAUAAAAUCCCCUUCCCCUUCGAAGAAAGAUAAUAAGGGAAAGAAUAAAAUUUAGUCCCUGAGAAAUACUUUCUAGAUGGUCCCUUUAUUUUAUAGAGGAACCUGAAAUCCAGGAGGGGGAUGGGUCUGCCUGAGGUUAUUCAGCCAGUUUGUGACCCAGCCAGGGAGCACCCAGGACCCUCCCUGCCAACUCACGGGGUUGUGAGAAGCUCUCUUGGCAUCCAUAUGGAGGACUGCCUCUUGUCUCCUGAUAAAACUGCAUGCCUAAUCUUCCUGGGACCAGCUUCACCUCAUCUUUAAAUGAAUAGGAUUCUCCAUGGAACUUUUAAAAUACCUUGCUAUGAAAAAGGGGUUUUAAACUAUUGAUUUUUUUCACUAUCUUCAGUUUUCCUUUGGCUUCGACAGUGGCCUUUAAUCCACCGCACACUUGGCAUUCCAGUUAACCUUCAGUGGUGGAGUGUGCUGGGCUCGUUCAUGCUGUUCCUUCUCUGUAGAACACCCUUCCCACCCUUGCUCCCCUGGUAAUUUCUGUUUGCCCUUCAUGCUUAGCACAGGACUCUGCCCUAAUUUGAGGUUUGUUCCCAUAACAUUCAGAGUCUGUCCAUGUCUUAGCACUUACCCUAUGAUAAUAUUGGCAUUCUUUGCUUUAGCUAACCUAGUGCAGGGUGUUGCGAGGGCAGAUUUUGCUUUUCAUGUCACCUCUCUAGUGCCCUGUGUGGUGCUCAGUGAACAUACUUUGGGCUCAACUUCAUCCCAGCAAAAACCCAAAGCCCUUUUCCUUUUUCACUUCUAAUUCAAUGAAAGCAUCUUCGGAAACAUUCAACCUUUUAAAAUAAACUUUCAUUUUUUUAAACUCUCCAAGAGAGCAAGGAAGCGUGUCUUAGCUUGAUUGUCAUGACAAAAUAGCACAGACUCGGUGGCUUACACAAUAGAAAUUUACUUUCUCACAGUUCUGGAGGCUGCGAUGUCCAAGAAUCAGCCAAGAGCAGGGAGCCAGCAGGGUGGGUGUCAUGUGAGAGCUCCCUCCUGGGUUUCAGAUGGCUGCCUUCUCCCUGUGCACUCACAUGAACUCUUCUUUGUGCACCUGGGAGAGCUGGGAGGAGAACAAGCUGUGGUCUCUUUUUAUUUAUAUGUGUUUUCUGGUUUCCUUCUUUCUUUUCUUUCUUUCUUUCUCUUUCUUUCCUUUCUUUCUUUCUCUCUUUCCUUUCUUUUCUUUUCUUUUUCUUGAGACAGAGUCUCACUCUGUCCACCAAACUGGAAUGCAGUGGUGCCAUCUCAGCUGACUGCAAUGUCCGCCUCCUGGGUUCAACUGAUUCUCCUGCCUCAGCCUCCCAAGUAGCUGGGACUACAGCCUGUGCAACCAUGGCUGGCUAAUUUUUGUAGUUUAAUAAAGAUAAGGAAUGACCAUGUUGGCCAGGCUGGUCUCGAACUCCUGACCUCAGGUGAUACACCUGCCUCAGCUUUCCAAAGUGCUGGGAUUACAGGCAUGAGCCACUGCGCCUGGCCUCUGGUCUCUUUUAAUAAGGGCAUGAAUCUCAUGGUGAGGGCCCCACACUCAUGACCUCAUCUAAACUAAAUCGUCUCCCAAAGGCCCCAUCUCCAAAUACUACCACAUUGGGGGUUGGGCUUCAACAUAUGAAUUAUGGACAGUUCAGUCCAUGGCGAACAGGUUGUGUGGCAGAGCUGGAAGGUCUUCAUGGUUUGUGUAAACCUAUUGUGCAAGUUUGUACAUUUCUAAGUUCUCACUCUCUGGUCAUGUGAAACUGAGUGUGACGAGACUUGGAGCCAGGGUCCAGUCCUUGAUGUCAUGUAGAGGGCUCACUUCCUCCAGCUGAUGUUCUUCAGGAAUUUUGGGCUAAAGGAAGGAGGCAGGUGAAAAGCAGGCAACAGGGUUUUACCUAAUGAGCACCACAUCUCCUCCCUUUGAAUGUUGCAAGAAAGUGUCGGGUUCUGGGGUCUGGAUAUAUCUCUUUUGGCAGAUCUAUUCUUUCACCUCCAUUAUUGCUAAAUGUAACUGUAGUGUAAGUUGAAGUUAUUGUUAUAUGAAAAGGAGAUAGACAAGUCCUCACAGCCUUGGAGUAAGCAUAAUUAUGGUGCUUUUAUUGACAGCUCCUUUGAGCUUAAAUUCAUGCACUUUCUAAAAAUAGUCUGCAGAGAUUAGAUCUAUGCUUUGAGUAAAUCAAAACAACUUAGAAAAUAAAAACAUCUUAACCACAUGCCCUUCCUUUCCACAAGCACAGAUCUGGUUCUGCUUCACUUGGGAGACUAGUAGAACUUUCUAGCUAGCAAGACAACAGUUUGAAAAGUAAGUGGCACAAAUCCAUCAUUCUAACAGUAUGUCUGACAGUGGAUGAGUAUGUUUGCCAAGUUAAAUGAAACCAAGAAGUGAAAAGUACUAGAAUGGGGAAUUAAGAGACUCCAUACCAGGUUAUCACUGAUUUGAGUUUGAAGGAAAAUUAGGGACGUCUCAAAUUCUCUAUUUGUCUUCUACAAUUGGGCGUUCUAAGUAUGUCGACAUUACUUCACCUUUUAUUACUGCUUGGAAAAGAAAAUACUUGGCAAAUUUAUAGCCCAUCUUCUUUUCGUUUUUGGAGCCGGAGUUUCACUCUUGUUACCCAGGCUGUAGUGCAAUGGCGCGCUCUCCACUCACUGCAACCUCUGCCUACCUGGUUCAAGUGAUUCUCCUGCCUCAGAUUCCCAAAUAGCUGAGAUUACAGGUGUGCACCGCCACGCCCAGCUUAUUUUGAUUUUUAGUACAGAUAGGGUUUCUCCAUGUUGGUCAGGCUGGUCUCGAAAUCCCAACCUCAGGUGAUCUGCCCACCUUGGCCUCCCAAAGUGCUGGGAUUACAGGCAUGAGCCACCAUGCCCAGCUAGCCCAUCUAUUUAAAGAAAAUUAUAAUAGCAAAUAAAACAAAGAAACAACACAAUCAAGUAUUUGAGGGCAAGCCGAAGCGGAAUGCCCAAAGAGAAAGAUGGAGGAAGAAGUCCUCCAAAGGUUCUGUGAAGCAAACUUCAGCAGACAUGAUAUGAAUAUGGCCUUCUGAGAAAUGUAAGUACCAGAGAAAAGUCAGACAUCCAACCCAGGGAAAAGCCAACACCUUUAGCACAACUGUGCCAGGAAGAUUGCAAGUCCAAAAGGCCCUCGCCUUUGUUAAACAGUUCAGAGUUUUGGUACUUGAAUUCUACUACCCACUCCACCUCCCUUCUUGGGAUAUAAGUCAAGAGAGCAUAUGGACAAGGAAUAGUCAGUGAAAAAGAAAGCUGAGUUAAACAAAAAACACUGAACCCUGGCUGGGAAGCAGAGACUUUCUGCUCCCUAUGCAAGGCAUGGCUUCCUUUCCAUCCUUCUCUUCCCUAAACCACAGCACGUGGAGACAGUCAAGAGAACGUUAUAGCAUGGAUUCAAAAGGAGAGACUGUGUGGAGUCUGGUUCCUGCCUUUAAGCAUUAGAGUCCUACUGACUAGUGUAAAAUAAAUGUACAAUCAGAUAAACAAUUAUUCUCCUUGGAAUGAACUUGGAAGAGAAUUAAAGGACAGAAGAGAAGGCAGAAGAGUUUCCUCCUCUGUGGGCAGAGAAGGAAUCCUGAGGGGAGGGAACUGAAUAUUCCUCUCGCCUCCAGCCUGCCAUAAUCAUUACCAUCAGUUACACUGUAUCUGAAACUCUGUAUCUGAAGAGAAAAACUGUGCCCAAGUUCUGUUGCCCCAGGCUGGCGUAUGUAAAAACCUAGACUAUGAUUUUUUUAAGCUAAUUAAAAUUGUCAGGAUGAGUUAAUAAGAUUGUUGCUGAAUGGGAAGUUGUUCAGAACAAAUAAAAAAGCCAGCUGGAGGCUGGGCGUGGUGGUUCAAGCCUGUAAUCCCAGCACUUUGGGAGGCUGGGGUGAGUGGAUCACAAGGUCAAGAGAUCGAGACCAUCCUGGUCAACAUGGUGAAACCCCGUCUCUACUAAAAAUACGAACAAUUAGCUGGGCAUGAUGGUGCGUGCCUGUAAUCCCAGCUACUCAGGAGGCUGAGGCAGGAGAAUUGCCUGAACCCAGGAGGCAGAGGUUGCGGUGAGCCGAGAUCGCACCAUUGCACUCCAGCCUGGGUAACAAGAGCGAAACUCCAUCUCAAAAAAAAAAAAAAAAGCCAGCUGGCUCACACCUGUAAUUCCAGCACUUUGGGAGGCCAAGGUAGCUGGAUUGUUUGAGCCCAGGAGUUCGAGACCAGCCUGGCCAACGUGGUGAAACCCAUCUCUACAAAAAAUACAAAAACUAGCCAGCUGUGGUGACACAUGCCUGUAGUCCCAGCAACUCAGGAGGCUGAGACGGAGAAUCAGUUGAGCCUGGGAGGCAGAGGCUGCAGUGAGCCGCGAUUGCAUCACUGUACUCCAGCCUAGGUGACAGAGCAAGAGCCUGUCUCAAAACAAAACAAAAAAGUCCAGGUGUGGUGGCUCACACCUGUAAUCCCAGGCAAGCAGAUACCCUGAGGUCAGGAGUUUGAGACCAGCCUGACCAACAUGGAGAAAUCCCAUCUCUACUAAAAAUACAAAAAUUAGCCUGGUGUGAUGGCACAUGCCUAUCAUCCCAGCUACUUGGGAAGCUGAGGCAGGAGAAUCACUUGAACCCGGGAGGUGGAAGUUGCAGUGAGCCAAGAUUUUACCAUUGCACUCCAGCCUGGGCAACAAGAGUGAAACUCAGUCUCAAAAAAAAAAAAAGACUCACUUUAUGUCAUGAUGGCAUCCAGUGGCUCUAGGAAAACAGUGGCUAGCCUAUCCUGGUUUGAAAACAAGUAGCAUAGACCAUAGACCACCUCUCUGGGUCUGUUUUUGCAUGUAUAUGAGAAAGGGAAACCUAGCUCAGAGUAGAAUGUUGUACCUCGUGACAGGCCAGUAUCUCAACGGAAACAACUAGGAGAAAAACAAAUAAAUUGCAAAAAUCAUAUUUUAAAGAAAGUUGGAGAGCUGUUAAGCAAAUUUCCAAAGAGAGAAGAAUCCUUCCUAGGUAUACUAAAUAAGCUGUGUUCUUCAUGGUAAGGGCAGGGAAGGAGGACAAUGGUUGUUGAUUCUGGGUGUGGGCUAAGGAUCUGGCUUGGUCCAAAAAGACGAAAUAUUAGGGAAAGAGAAAGUAGCAGAGUGUAGGCAGUCAUAUUGAACUGGUUUGAUGGACUGGAAACUAGAGUAGCCCCGAAGGAAGUCUAGUUUUUCCCCUGAGGCAUUUGCUGAGUUCUGGGGUGGUGCAGGAGGCUGCAGGUUUGGGCACUCUCGUAGUCUAGGGGUAUUUAGGAGACAAAAUCUGGCUAGAAGAAAGAGACUGCAGCAAAAGCACAAGUCUUCCCCUCAAGACAGUUGCCACAUGUUGAACCUGCACAGAUGGGAGGCUAAAAUGCUAAGAAAGCGGGCCGGGCGCGGUGGCUCACGCCUGUAAUCCCAGCACUUUGGGAGGCCGAGGUGGGUGAAUCAUGAGGUCAAGAGAUGGAGACCAUCCUGGUCAACAUGGGGAAACCCCGUCUCUACUAAAAAUACAAAAAAUUAGCUGGGCAUAGUGGCAUGUGCCUGUAAUCUCAGCUACUCAGGAGGCUGAGGCAGGAGAAUUGACUGAACCCAGGAGGUGGAGGUUGCAGUGAGCCAAGAUUUUGCCAUUGCACUCCAGCCUGGGUAACAAGAGCGAAACUCCGUCUUAAAAAAAAAAAAGCUAAGAAAGGCAGACCUUUUAUGGAUGAGGAGACAGAGAUCCACCAAGCUCUUAAGCAUGAGUCUGGGAGAGUUACCGCUCAGGGACUAGCUAAAAUCGAGGUGGACUAAGUUACUAUAGCUGCAGCCUUUCUGAGUCACUCAGUCCCUGGUUUGACUGAGCUCAUCACCCUAUUAGAGGGAAAGGAGAACACUUCUUGAAUGAAGCUCUCCUCUGGAGCUUCUACAUUUUCUACACAAUAUCAAGCAUGUAAUCAAAGAUGUAGGCAUAUAAAUAAGCAGAAAGGCAUAACUGAUAAUCAAGUGGGGAGAAAUAAUAGGAAGAGAACUGCAGAUGGUGCAGAUAUUAAAGUUAGCAAUAACUUAAACAUAACUGGAUGGUAUGUUAAAGAAAAUGAGGAAAAGAUGGAUAAAAUAAUGAGAAAAUCAGUGCAAGAUUAGAAUCUGUUUUUUAAAAAAAUCAAAUGGGUAUUAUAGAAUUGAAAAAUUCAUCUGGAAUUAAUAGUGUACUGGAUGGUCUAAGAGUACACUGGGUACAAUGUAGCAGGAUUGGUGAACUCAAGGUCAGUAGAAAACACUCAAAGUGAAACACAAAGAGGAAAAAAUGCUGCAAAGAGCAGAACAGAGCGUGAGGAACACAGGGGAAAUGUUCCUAAGAUCUAAUAUUUGUAAUUAUAAUUCUAGAAGAACAGGGGAGAGAGACUGGGCAGAAGCGGUAUUUGAAAGGAUGUGAGCUAAGAAUUUUCCAAAAUGAUUGAUUGCCAUAAUACAAAUAAAACCAUACUUAGGUAUAUCUACUCAAACUAUCAAAUUUAUCUUCGAAAACAAACAAUAAAUUUAAAAAUCUUAAAAUCAACUAGAGAAAAAGCACAUGACUUUAAAUUGAAGAAGCAACCAUAAAGCCAGUGGCUGACUUCUUACCUGAAACAAUGAGUACCCAUAGACAAUGAAAUGACAUCUUUACUUAUUUAAUGCAUAUGACCCUUGACUGCAGGAAUGACAUUUUUAAAGUGCUGAAAUAGACCAGGCUCAGUGGCUCACGCCUGUAAUCCCAGCACUUUUGGGAGGCCGCCCACCUCCGGCAACCCUCAGGUGGGUGGAUUGCCUGAGGUCAGGAGUUUGAGACCAGCCUGGUCAGCAUGGUGAAACCUCAUCUACAAUCCAGAAAUAUAAAAUACAAAAUUUAGAUAGGCAUGGUGGCAUGUGCCUGUAGUCCCUGCUACUCAGGAGACAAAGGCAGAAGAAUUGCUUGAACCUGGGAGGUGGAGGUUGCAGUGAGCUGAGAUCAUGCCAUUGGACUCCAGUCUGGGUAACAGAGCAGGAGACUCCAUUUCAAAAUGAAAGAAAAGAAAGGGGGUGGGGGGGAGAAGAAGGAAGGAAGUAAGAAAAGAAGGAAGGAAGGAAGGAGCUGACAGAGCAGAGAGAAAGAGAGUGAAAGAAAGAAAAAGGGAGGGAGGGAAGAGGGAGGAGGGAAGGAAGGAAGGAAAGAGAAAGAAAGGAAGGGAGGGAGAGAAAGAGCUGACAUAAAUUAAGGGGAGAGAUUAGGUCAUCUCUACACUACAUUUCCUUCUUACUCUAAAUAACUGGUCACCAACCUCUUCAAAAUUACACGAAGUCUAGGUGCGGUGCUUCACACCUGUAAUCCCAGCACUUUGGGAGGCCGAGGUGGGUGGAUCACUUGAGGUAAGGAGUUCAGGACCAGCCUGGUCAACAUGAUGAAACCCAGUCUCUACUAAAAAUAUAAACAUAAGCCAGGUGUGUUGGUGUUCACCUGUGAUCCCAGCUGCUUGGGAGACUGAGGCAGGAGAAUUGCUUGAACCCGGGAUGCAGAGUUUGCAAUAAGCCAAGAUUGUGCUACAGUACUCCAGCUUGGGUGACACAGCAAGACUCUUGUCUCAAAAAAAAAAAAUUACUAUGAAGAAUUUGAAGAAUUACUACAUAAAGCUUCUAGACUCUUUUAUUAAAUAUAUUAAUACAUCCUUAUUAUAUCUAAUUCUCAAAUUUCUGCCGAAUCACAUAUCAUAUCACAUAGAUGGAUUCAUAUCACAUAGCAUGAUACUGGCUUCUUCCUAGGAUCACAUUGGAAGCUCAUUAUAAAUCAAGGGCGAUAGUACUUAAUUUGGAUAGAUCAUGUUGUAAAGUAAAAUAUAAGUGUUUGAAGAUGGAAUAAAUGAAAGGUUCUAUGAAAAGGAAGCUGUGGUAUAUCGGUAUGAUACAUGUAUAGUGUUAAUGAAGAUGCUGAAUGAAAUAGUGACUUAGAAUUCCUUGCUACAUAAAAUAUGACCAUGGCACACACCAAAAGCACAAGCGACAAAAGAAAAUAGAAAGUGGAGUUCAUCAAAAUUAAAAACUGCUGAGCUGCAAAGUACAGCAUCAAGGAAGGGAAACGACAACCCACAAACAAAUCACAUAGAUGAUGUGGGACAUCUCCACAACACAGAAAGAACUCUUACACCUCAGUCAUUUUUAAAAACCCAAUUUUUAAAACGGGCGAGGGAUCUAGACAGCUCUGCAAAGCAGAUGAACAACUGGCCAAUAAGCCCCUGGAAAAGAUGCUCAGUGUCAUUAGUCACCAGGGAAAUACAAACAAAACCACAGUAAAGUGUCCCGUCACACCCACGAAGAUGGCGACAAUUGAAAAGAAAGAUGGUCAGGAUGUGAAGAAACUGGAACCUUCUUUGUAUAUGUUUAAAAUUUUCUAUGAUAAAUGACAUAUGGCUGGGCGGUGGCUCACACCUGUAAUCCCAGUACUUUGGGAGGCCGAAGCAGGUGGGUCACCUGAGACCAGCCUGGCGAAACCUGGACUCCACUAAAAAUACAAAAAUUAGCCAGGUGUGGUGGUGUAAGUUUGUAAUCCCAGCUACUCAGGAGGCUGAGGCAGUAGAAUCACUUGAACCCAGGAGGCAGAGAUUGCAGUGAGCAGAGAUUGGCCACUGCACUCCAGCCUGGGUGACAAAGCGAGACUGUCUGAAAAAAAAAAAAAAGAAACAUAAAAAGACAAAGUGUACCUAAUCUACAAUGGUAGAUCUUCAGAUCUUUGGAGGGGAGGGAAUAAAAAGUAGUUGUAUGAGGGCACAAGUGACACUGAUGCUAUUCCUUGGUUAUAUACAUGUAUUCAUUCUGUAAUCAUACAUUAAGAUUUACAUGAGUGCUUUUUUUUUUGAGAUGAAGUCUCACUCUGUUGCCUAGGCUGGAGUGCAGUGGUGUGAUCUCGGCUCACUGCAACCUCCACCUCCUGGGUUCAGCCUCCCAGGUAGCUGGGAUUACAGGUUCCCACCACCACACCCCCCUAAUUUUUUGUAUUUUUGGUAGAGACGGGGUUUCACUAUGUUGGCCAAGCUGGUCUUGAACCGCUAACCUCGUGAUCCACCCACUUGGGCCUCCCAAAGUGCUGGGCUUACAGGCUUGAGUCACAUGAGUACUUUUUGCAUGUAUUUCUGUAUGCAUAGUAUAUAUCACUGAAGGCUUAAAUAUUUCAUAUUUGCACACAAAAAAUGGAACCCUCAAACACUGCUGGUGGGGAUGUAAAAUGGUGCAGUAAAUGCGGGAUGACGGGAUGAUGGAGAUAGUGAUCGUGGUAUCUUGUGUCACCAGGUUCUGGCCUGUUUCAUUGAUGCUGUGAAGUGGUUUUGUGAUGUUUGGCAGUUUUGUGGAUACUUUUACUCAAACUAGUAAUACAGCAAUAAUCAGGGAUUCAGUCCUAUCUUCAUCUGAGAAUUACAAGGGGAUCUUUUUAAAAAUGCUAAAUUCUGGGCUUCAGUCUAGGAAAUGUUUAUUUAAUUGACAUGGAACAGAAUAUUCGUGGUGUGUGUGUGUGUUUAACUUCUCACAGGAUUCUAGAUGUGCCAUCAGGGCUGAAAACUACUGAGCCAGGAUUAAGCAAAGCCAAUCAUAAGGGUUAGCUUGGAGUUAGAAACGAGAUUGGCACAGGACUCAGGAGACCUGGGUUUUAGUCCCAACUCUUCCUUUGUUUAAACUGUGUGCUUUGAGCCAGGUAUUUAUCCUCUGUGAGCUUCGGUUUCUUCAUCUGUAAAAUGGGGCCGAGCACCCUCCUGUGCAGGGAUGUGGGGAUUAUCGCUAUGACACUGCAAAGCCUGGUGACUGGGACAUUUUAUGCUCUCGUCACGUUUUGGUUACUUUUUUCCCUUAUCUUCCAUGAACUAGAUACUCAUGUCACAGUUUCUAGUUUCAUUCUCUUGUUGGUGCAUCUAUGAGGUGUAGGAGUUGGUUAAAAGUCACCUAAGGUUUUUAACCUUCUCUAGGUUUAAAAUUUAUCCUUCCUUCCCAUGAACCUAAUCUCUUUUUGUUCCUCAUCUAUGUUCUCAAUCCCCUUGUGCUUAUAAUAAAUGUUGUUCUGAUAUCUGGCAAAAUUACUGGUUCAUAUAUUUUGAUGAGGCAAUGUUAAAUACUGUUAAUAGCCAUGCCUGGAGUCUAACAUGAGUUGUCCCUCAUUAAUAAUUACACUGAUCGUGGUAAUAAAUCAUAGGAUGGGUAAUAGGGUUAAUUGGAAUUUUUUAAAAUGCCAAAUAGAGUUAUGAGCGUAGGCUGUGAUUUCUAUCUAGUGGACUUGGAAUAGUUCUGUGGGUUCUAGGAGAGAAAGAGCCUGCUCUUGGGUGGUAAACUUUAUGUUAGAUUUACUCUUUAACCUAGGAGAAAGACCAGGUUGGUAACAUUCAUAUGUGAGUCUACAGCACAGAUAGAUUCCAAGACUGUCUGACAUACACCUCCAACUCAGUGGCCUGUGGGAGAGCUGGAGUCCACCUGUCCCCGGAGAGGUGGCAGUGCAGCAUAUUUGUACACCAGCUGGAGAAAGUCAUUCUGGAGCCCUGUGGCUGCAGUGGGAGGGUCUAGAACAGAACUCCCACAUUUUAAUGGGUAUGCAUAUCACCUGGGUAUUUGUGCCAGUGCAGAUGCUGUUUAGUAGAUCGGGGUGGAACCUGAGAUUCUGCAGUUCGUGCAAGCUCCCAGGUUCGUUGCUGAUGCUGCUUGUCUGUGACUACACUUUGCAUGGCAGAUAGAAGAAAGCUAUCUGUUGUUCUGCUUGCCAGCACUUUCCAUACCUUCCUCCAGUAAAAUGUUCCUUCCUUCUUCCAACCAUGACGUUCCAGAGUGAGCUUCCAUAUUCUUAUAUGACUGCCUCCCACGCCACAGUCAGUUAGUCCAGGAGCCAAUCAGAAUCUUCCCUGGCAUUUUGGGACUAGAAUCCAGAGAGAUCUAGUCUUAGAUCCUCUCUAUGAAGUUCUUUCUAACUCCAUGGAGGGAAUUGGUCAAGGAUAAAGGGCAGAGAGCGUGUCCCAGUGGUUCUCAAGUCCUUUGUUCCAGUUUUCCCAAACACAUGAAAAAGGAUUAAAAAACAAAACAGAGUUGUGAUAUAUAUAUCACAAUUCUGGAUAUAUAUAUAACCUUAGGGCUUAUAUUACCAGCUCUGAUUAUCUUGUGCAGAAACUUUUAUCAGGUCCUUAUCACAUGCAGGUCUCUAUUGCUAGCACCUGAAUGUUCAAAGAUGAAUAGCGCACGCCCUGACUGGGAGAAGACCACACAUUGCAGUACAGUGUGGCAUGUGCCAUGGCCAGGGGUUGUGGGACCUCUGAGAGGAAGUGCUUGAUCCAGUUGAGUGUGUAGAUGGGGGCCAGGUUCAGUAAAAGUUUUCUCAAGAUGGAUUUUCAAACGGUGAGUAGGAAUUAUGUAGGCGGGCCUAUGAAAUUUUUCUAGGCAGACAGAACUUGCUGAGCAAAGGCAAGAUGAUGGUAGGAAACUGUUUGAAAAAUUGCAACCCUUUUAAAAGGGACGUAUGUGGCUGCAACUGGGCUGAAGAAGCAGGCAAGGGAGAGCGUUGUAUAUAUCACUUUUUUUUAAAGAGUCAUAUGCAUUUUAAAACCAAGAAAACAAUAAACCUAAAUCUCUAAUUCUCUCCCAAAUACCUAUCUGGCAGGUUCCUACUUCCAACCCUCCAGACCCCCCAUUUUCCCCUUAAACAGAAAAUUUGUCUUAGGAUUGAGAUGAAUGUUUGAAAAACAAACCUGAUCUGCUUUAAAUACCAAAAUCUGUUUAAAUAACACAGAGGUUGUGACAGCCGUUGGCAAAGCCGUGCGGCCGACACGUUGUAUCGAGUUCUGCUGUCGUUGGCACCCCUCCGCCUGUGGCAGGUCCUGCUGUUUGUUACUCGGGUCUGCGUGUGAGACGGAGACAUUCCUCAGACCACAAGACUCUUUCUUCUUUGGGAAAAAUCUGUUUUUUAAAAUGCUUUUUAUGAGCGAGUACACCAUUUAGUAGUGCAGGUGAUGAUACUUCUUAAGUCUUCUUGAAUGGCAAGUUCCAAGAGUAACAUUAGAGUAUUUUUCAUGGGCAGAUUUUAGCCAUUUCAAGAGGGUUUUUCAAAAAUGUUUAUGUUUUUACUAACAUUUUUGAGAGACAAAUGUAAUGUAUGAGAAAGACUCUUGUGCCUCAGGGGUUAUUGUCUGUUUGAAGGUGGUGUCAGAGCACUUAGUACCCCCCACGAUAAGCACACUGCAGUAGGCUUGUUAAUAUCCGGGGUCUGACUCUCAGCCCUGGAAUACUGGGAGCUUGGUUUUAUCCCAUUUACCGCUUAGUGAUAUGCGCUGGGAUUGAUUUCUGUUGCUCAGAUGAAAGGAUUGCUUGAUGCAACAAGAGACCAAUCCACCAAUUAACUGUGGAGCAAGUGACAUGACAUCUAAAGCCUUGGAGUAUGAGGCCUUUUGCACACAUUUCCAAAGCUGAAGGCAAGGAUGGCUAGAAUUUGAGAGACUGUCCCUCCAAGCAUAGAGGCUAUUCAUGUGGAGGCCGGCUCUGGAGCUCUGGAGGUACAGCUGGUGGAUGCUGUAUGUAGUGUCCGCUGGGGCCUAAUAGUUAAGCUCUAAAUCUGGCAGGUUGGACACAGGGUCAGAAAUCCAGGCAAUGGUCAGUACACAGUGGACAAUCCUUCUGGAAUAUCAGUCCUAGUUGUCUGGGGCGUCAGUCAAGGUUCUAGUCACAAGGCCAAGGGCUGGCCAGAACCAGACAGUCUAGAAAGCUCCCUUCCCUGGGUAGGAGAUCAGCGUCAAGUGUGGAGUACCAAGAAGGAAACUGGUGUGGCUCCAGAGUCAGACCAAAGCAAGAUCCCACUCUGUGGACUGUGUGGCCUUGGGUGGUUGGGUGCAGUGAGAGAGGAGGGGAGGGAAGACACAGUUCCAACCUCAGUGCUAAUAUCUGGGGGCCCUGUGCCCUAGGUCUCAACACCAGAGGGGUCACUCAGGAAGCCCCUGGUUCAAAUGGGAAAAGUAAUGCAUUUCCACAACUAGUGCUUAGCAAAUGAUGGGGGAGAUGGCAAUGAAGCUCUUCGAGGGCUAGGCAGGAAGUGAAAGCUGGGAUAGAUUUCACACCUGUGUGUUUUUGUUAGAAUUACUGAUCAUUUGGCAUUUGGUGACCUUGUCACCCAGGAGCUGGAAGUCAGGAAUUAAAGUUAUGCUUCAUGUCUCACUCACGCCAGUGCAUUCCUUUGUAAGCCUCCAAGUGCUCCAGAGUCACAGAGGGCUCUUUCUUUUCCUAUUUUACGCAUUUGCUUUAUUUUUUUUUUGAGACAGAGUUUCACUCUUGUUACCCAGGCUGGAGUGCAAUGGCGCAAUCUCGGCUCACCGCAACCUCUCUGCCUCCUGAGUUCAGGCAAUUCUCCUGCCUCAGCCUCCUGAGUAGCUGGGAUUACAGGCACGCACCACCAUGCCCAGCUAAUUUUUUGUAUUUUUAGUAGACGGGGUUUCACCAUGUUGACCAGGAUGGUCUCGAUCUGUUGACCUCGUGAUCCACCCGCUUCGGCUUCCCAAAGUGCUGGGAUUACAGGCUUGAGCCACCGCGCCCAGCCCCCAUUUGCUUUUAAAUGGUUAUUUGGGUAUAAUGAUAACAGAUUUUGUUUCUGUGCUGAAACUGCAUGUUCCUACUUAUGUCUUAGAGCAACUUUUGAGCUUUCAAGCACAUGAGGAGCUUCUUCCUCAGAGCUGACUUUCCAAGUGAGCAAAAAGGAAGGCAGUACCAAGCCUGCUGACUGUUCAUAUGCCCCCCAGAGAGGAUCGGAGGCUCAGGUUCUUUCCAGCCUUUGUCAAAUGUGACUGAGCCAGGCUCUGCGGCACUGAGCUUGGUCCUCCAAGUCUUUGACCUUAAGAGUCACAAUACAGGCCAGGCGCGGUAGCUCACACCUGUAAUCUUAGCACUUUGGGAGUCUGAGGCGGGCAGAUUAUGAAGUCAAGAGAUCGAGACCAUCCUGGCCAACAUGGUGAAAUCCCGUCUCUACUAAAGAUACAAAAAUUAGCCAGACGUGGUGGCACGCACCUGUAGUCCCAGCUACUUGGGAGGCUGAGGCAGGAGAAUCACUUGAACCUGGGAGGCAGAGGUUGCAGUGAGCCAAGAUUGCGCCACUGAACUCCAGCCUGUCGACAGAGUGAAAAUUCUGUCUCAAAAAGGAAAAAAAAAAAAAAAAAAAAAAGAAUUCACAAUGUAGGUAGGCUUAUAAACAGAUCAGUGAUAAUAGGACAGUAGUGGGGCUUCACGCAGGUAGAGUCCAAGUGCUAGGGAGAGAACAGGUCAUCCUUUCAGAGGAGUCUUGCCUGAGGCCUACAGGAUUUAGUCAGGCAAAGUAGGAGGAAGAUAUCAGGUGUCAUGGUGCCUGUGGUCCCAGCUACUCAGGAGGCUAAGGUGGGAGGAUUACUUGAGCUGGAGUUCGAGGCUACAGUCCACUGUGAUCUCACCUGUGAAUAGCCACUGGACUCGCCUGGGCAACAUAGCAAGACCUCAACUCUUAAAAAUAUUUUGUUUAAAAAAAAAGUUGGGGAAAGGGGUAAGAAUUAAGAAUUUAAGCAGAGAGAAAGAAAUGAAUUUUGUGUGUGUGUUAAAAUAAAUGUAAGAUUUACUUUUUUUUUUUUUUUUUUGAGAUAGAGAGAGAGUCUUGCUCUGUUGCCCAGGCUGGAGUGCAAUAGUGCAAUCUCAAUCUUGGCUCACUGCAACCCCCACCUUCCAGGUUCAAGUGAUUCUCCUGCCUCAGCCUCCCAAAUUGCUGGGACUACAGGUGCCCACCACCACGCCUGGCUACUAUUUGUAUUUUUUGUAGAGAUGGGGUUUCACCGUAUUGGCCAGGCUAGUCUCAAACUCCUGACCUUUUGAUCUGCCUGCCUCAGCCUCCCAAAGUGCUAGGAUUACAGACGUGAGCCACUUGCCUGGCCAAGAUUUACCACGUUAACCAUUUCUAACUGGACAUUUCAGUGGCAUUGAUUAAGUCAUACCAUUGCACAACCAUCACCACUAUCCAUUUCCACAAAUGUUUCUUUGCACACUGAAACUCUGUGCCCAUUAAACACUAAUUCCUGAUUCCUUGCUCCUCCUAGGUCCUGACAACCAUCAUUCUACUUUCUGUCUCUAUGAGUUGGACAAUUCCAAGUAACUCAUAUAAGUGAAAUAAUACUUUAUAUGUCCUUCUGUAUCUGGUGUAUUUCACUUAGCAUAAUGUCUUCCAUGUGGUAGCAUUAAUCAGAAUUUCCUUCCUCUUGAAGGCUGAAUAAUAUUCCAUCAUAGGUAUGCCCCACAUUUUGCUUCUCUGUCUAUCCCUCCAUGGACACUUGGAUUCCCUCCAGCUUUGGCUGUUGUGAGUGGUGCUGCUGUGGAGGUGGGUGUGCAGAUAUCUGCUAGAGCCCCUGCUUUCACUGGGUUUUUCUCUUAAAGAGCUGUAUAGAGCUUUGUGGGCCCUUGAGUUUUUGGCUGUUGGAGAGAGUUGAUCUAGGAGUCAAGGCCUUGGUUCUCUUCCUCACUGCCACCAACUCCCUGGGUCCCUGGAACAGUCAUGUACCAUCUCUGGGUCAUUGUCUUCCUACUUGUGAGCUAAGGGAGUCCCUUCACCUCUUGGGCUCUGCCCUGGGUGACUAUACCCGGGACAUUCUGUACCAGACGUGGCACACUCCGCCUGUCCUGGCUUCCAUUUCCUCCUCAAUGCAGUUAGGAAUGGAGUGGCUUCUUGGUACGAGUGGAUUUAACAGUCUCACUUUUGAGUGUUCUUGAGCAGCUCCAAAGGCUCCUGCUGUACAGAAAUCUGUCACUUUGCUGAGACGUGCAUUUGAACCUUACCCACGAUGAGAGCAGUGCAUGGAGGAAGUCCUCCAAUGGGGAGCCAGGCUGGCCAGUGCCCAGCAUCCGUCUCGCCGAGCAGAGUUGUUGACUGCUCCUUGUUCUUUUUUGAUUUUUUUUUUGAGAUGGAGUUUCGCUUUGUCACCCAGGCUGGAGUGCAAUGGUGUGAUCUCGGCUCACUGCAACUUCCGCCUCCCAGGUUCAAGAGCUUCUUGUGCCUCGGCCUCCCAAGUAGCUGGGAUUACAGGUGCCUGCCACCACACCUGACUAAUUUUGUGUAUCUUUUUAGUAGAGACGGGAUUUCAACAUGUUGGCCAGGCUGGCCUUGGACUCCUGGCCUCAGGUGAUCCGCCCAUUUCAGCCUCCCUAAGUGCUGGGAUUACAGGUGUGAGCCACCAUGUCCAUCUGUCCUUUCUUUUGAACUGACUUUUAUGAAAUAUGAUAGAACUUUGGUGAGUGUGUGUGUGUUUGUGUGUGUGCAUGUGUGUGUGCGUGCACACGUGUGAGAGAGAGAAAGAGAGAGAGAGGAGGCCUCCAAAAAGAGAGCUGACCACUGGGCUUGUGCUGGAAGUAAAAGAAAGCAGAGAAGCCUGAGAAACUGACGGUGUGUACCAUCAGUUUGUACUAUCAUUAUAGAUUAAAAAGGAGCCCGUCCGAUCCCACAGUUGCCCCACAGUGCAAACAACUUCAGUCACCGUUCUCUAUGGAAAUAAGAUAAAGGGUCUCAGGCAGCAGUAUACUUGCUCCUUGAGUGAUAACAUUUUAGAGAAUUUUGAAAAGGUGGCUCAGGAGAAGACAGGAGACUACACAAACAUUUCCAGGAAGCAGCAGAUGGCGAAGGCACCAGUGUGGCUGCUAAACCAACCUUCUUUUCAAGUAAGGACUGGUUAAAAAUUUUAAAGAUGUGUUUUUCUUGGCGAAAGGUGCAGUUGAGAGGAAUAAGCAGGCCAGCUGUCUAUCUCACUGCAGACAGGAUUCCUCUUAAGCUAAAGAGGCUCAUGGAGGAGCAGAGGCACGAGUCCCAGGCUAGGGGAGGGGGCUCACAGGGCAGGCUUCCCUCUUUACCAACUGUACCAAAGUCACCUGAAUGAGGUAGUCAGAGAAUAAGGAGAGAAGCUGAUCAAAGAAGGCCUUGAAGAGCUAAUUAAAAUAGGCAAGGACGAUAAAGACAACACUGAGAACAGAGAAAAGACAAGUUGGGUCCUUUAUAAAUCAAGUGGAGUGUUCCAUUAUGCGGAGCUGCCAGCACAGCCAACAUCCAUCAGCGGGACGGAGCCUUUCUCAGCAGGUCCAAGAAAUACAUCUCCAUUGGCACCAUCCCAGGCCAUGUCCAAGAAGUUGCAAAAGGAAAGAAUGACUAACAACACGGUUAACUUCAGUCAAGACUAAUGAAGGGGGUGAGGGGAAGAAAGAGAAAAAUGACAAAAAUAAAUGAAUAAAUAAAAAGGAAGGUAAUCAAAACAGGUACAAGCAAUGUGAAAUAUUUUUCCAGACAGCUAAAUGUUAAUGAAUUGGGAGAACUAGAUAAAAUAUAUUUUUGGGAAUAGUGAAAAUGGAAAAUUUGCAACAAGAAAGAGAAGACUUUAUUAGGCUAAUAGCUGGUAAAGAUCUCCCCCAGCUAGGAGAUCUGUCUAGGUCCAGAGCCCUUCAAGUCAGGGGUAACUUUCAGAGUCAAAAUUGACUAUAACCAUUGCAGGAUCAUAAGCAGAGAAGCUGAUGAACUCACUUAUGUAGUUAGUACAACAUUGUUUCCAAGACCAGACAAUUGCAUUGAGAGGUAGUAACACUCCAGCCCACUUCAUUUAUGACCAUAAAUGCGGAAGUUCUAAAUUAAAUGUUAAAUUAAAAAAAAAAAAAAAAAAAAAAAGAACUGGGUGCGGUGGCUCACCCCUAUAAUUCCAGCACUUAGUAAGGCUAAGGUGGGUGGGAUUGUUUGAGCCCAGGGGUUCAAGACCACCCUGGUCAACAAAGUGAGAUGUUGUCUCUACAAAAAAUAUUCAAAAUUAGCUGGAUGUGGCCGCAUGUGAAUGUAGUCCCAGCUACUCGGAGGCUGUGCUGGGAGGAGUGCUUGAGUCCUGGGAGGUUGAGGCUGCAGUGAGCUGAGAUUGCGCCACUGCACUCCAGCCUGGGCGACACAGAGUGAGACCCUGUCUCAAAAAAAAAAAAAAAAAGAAAAGAGGGACAUUCAUCAUGGGCAUCAACUCAAAACUUGUCAUUCAAUAUGCUGUUUAAGGAAAAAGCCACCACUAGUCUCCACUUAGAGAAACCUCUUUCCCUGUCCUUUGCAUUCUUAUAAUUAUCUCUCUGGCUGGGCUUCUACUUCUUUACUGCCCCUGAAGAUAAUACCCAGGUCUUUUUUUAUAGUCAAGGUUUUUGCUACAAAUCAAUAAAGCAAGGCAGAAAGUGAUACCAAAUGACUUAACUACAAAGAAAAGAUCUCACCAAGUUUAUAUCCUAUCACGAGGGUUCUGGGUUUGUAGUUCCAGACUUCUGAGAUAGUAAAGGAGUGACAAUGAGGUUCAUAAACACACUCCCUUCUGCCUGCCUGCCUGCUGCCUUGCUCCCAGCUUGGAGACCCAAAGAGGCCUCCAAGACAGCAUGUGAAAUCCCCGCAAGGGAGAUGGUAGCUGACGUUUCUGAGGACCUCCAGCUCAACAGAACCUCUCCCAUCCCAGCCUACAUCCCACCUCUCAGGGCAAGAAAGCAGAUUUUUAAGGUUACCUUCUCCACAGAAGCUGUUUUGACCUGCAGGAUGCAGAAGACUGGAAGCCAGAAGCAUCCUUCCUUAAGCAGACAUUCCGAGUGUGGACAGAGCUGGGCCCUGGCUCGCACAUGCUCUUGGUGCUGAGGGGUUCAAGAUAAUCACAGCUGGCUUAUCAAUAUUGCUGUUUGAUGCAGUCCUGACCAGUGCAACCGUGGGAUGCCUCCUGCUCGGUGCACUUGGAGAAGCCUUGCUGGUUUUCUCAGAGCGGAAGGGCUCCUGAAGAAGACGGCC